rnacentral:lncRNA from 1 species
GUUUGUAGAUGGAAGGAAGAACUUGUGUGCUUAGACCUGACGCUGGGAGGAGAUGCUGCCACCUAGGUUACUUGUAGGACCCUAUACGGCAACCUCCUUUGCCAGGAACUAUUUAUAAACAUCCUGCAGGAAAAUGAGUCUAUAUGUCAGAAUACACAUUUCCCACCUUGCCCAACAGUAGAAAAACAUAAGAAGAGAAAAACAUUAAAAAAUGACAAGGAAGUUAAUGGAAGCAAUGUGAUGGUGUUUGGAGGUGGAGCCUUCAGAAGGUAAUUAAUGCCCUUGUAAGAAGAGGCCAGAGAGCUUGCGCACCUUCUUCCUGCCAUGUGAGGAGCCAAGAAGCCGGCUGUCUGCAACCUGCAAGAGGACCCUCACUAGAAGCUAGCCAUACUGGCAUCCUCAUCUUGGCUUUCCAACUUCCAGAACUGUGAGAAGUAUAUGUUUGUGGUUUAGUCAAUGGUCUAUGGUAAUUUUUUUAUAGCAGUCCCAGCCAAGACAGUGCCUCAUUUACUACAUACCAUUUAUAUUAUUAUAUAGGCUCCUUUCAGAAACCCAUGUUCAAAUAAGAGAUAAGAUACUGAAACACAUAACACCUUCACUAGUUUUUAGUAUACAAAUAUUGAGAAAUAGUUUGUUAUUAACUAUCUCAUCCAAGAAAUGCAGAUUCAUGUUGUUUCUAAUUUUUUAUAUAUAAUUGACAAAAUGAAGAAACUUAACACCAUCCUAGAUUUUAGCUGC